UUAACCACUGCACCACGACAGGAACUCCGGCCACGACUUCUAAACCUGGGCUCCCGUCCUUGUCCCAGCCCUACUGCCAUUCCUGGGAAGCCCAUCCUGAAGCAGGUGGUGUGGUGACUGCCACUCGCAAGGAGGCACGAGGACCGUCACUACCGUCCAGGGACCAGCCCCGGCCCCCUGGAGAAAUGGUUCUGGAGGCUGCUGUGAGAGCACCUGUGAUGUGUCACCAGGCUCUCUUGUCCGGCCAUAGCCUGAAAGGAAGAGAGGCAGUGACCAGGGACUUCAGGAACAGUUGCUGUGAGCACUCAGAGCAAGACAGAGUGGCG
rnacentral:lncRNA from 1 species